UGUUGUCUCUCUCCAAUCUUCGGCGGAAAUUGCACAGCGACAAAAACUUUUGCUUUCUCUUCUCCACCUCCCCUCACAUUCCGGCCGGCUCCGCUUUCCCUGCGAUUUCUCUCCUCCACCUUCUCCUUUGUUUGUGUGUCUCAUGCGUUUGGGUGAGGAACAAUUCAGUGCAUUAGCUCGCGUGUGACAUCUUUUUGCGUUCGUUUGGCGACUGUUUCUCUCUGGUGAAAUUGGCUGUUGAUCUCGGGGUAGCAAGGUGGUUCUCGGUGGUGGAAUUUUCUGUUGAUCUCGGGAUAGCGAGGUAGGUCUGGUGAUGUCGAAAGGGAUACGGAGCAGGUAGUGGGUUCAUAUAGAAUGCUUUUGUUUGAGCUGCUGAGUGAAGUUUUGGGUCAACUUCAGUAUUGGCUUUUCUCUUCCUGACUAGGGGGACUUCUUCAAGCUCACUCUUUUUCUAUGCAACUGACCCGUAUUUGACAUCUUACUAAAUUGUUCUUAUGUGAUGAUAAACCUUCAUCACCGUGUAUGUCAGGCUGUCGUUGCAGAAAGCAUUUCCCAAAGCCUUUUCAUUAGGAAACAACUUUGCAUGAUUAGGCUGGAUUACUCGAUUUCUUAUCGAGCAAAAUGAGGAACUUUCAGGAGUGGAAGAGCAAGUAAAGAAGACGUAGGAUGCAGUUUGAGAAGGCUGCUAAGGAAUCUCAAUUUUUCUUUUUUCUUUUUUCCACUUCUUAUAGAGUUUAUUUGAACAUUUUAUAUGUGCAUAGGUUGAAACAGGUGUCUUGGGUUAAAUUUUGUAGGUUGGAGCUAUCAAUCACACAAUGGGUCUGUUUUUGUUCUCUUCGUUCUAGAUAUCACAGACCAAUGGGAUGGCUUUGGAUUUUAGCAGGUCUGGCAAUGUUGAAAGGGAUACCGAGCGGGUAGUUUUUAAAGUGCAUUUCAAUUGAUUUUUUUAAUUUUUUUUCCCGAUUGUCUCUCUCUAGGGUUGUUUGUGUGAGGUUCAUGGUUUAGGGAAAGUAUUGGGCGUGUUUAUAGUCUGCCCGCAGGUCUGCAUGUAUUUGGAAGAUAUUAUGCCAUAACAUCAGUCGUCCAGUGAGAGCAACUGAGAAAACUGAGGCUGCUCAGAGACAUAGAAUGCAAGUUGAGAAGGCAGCUAAUGUAUCUCAGAGAGGUACAGUUGUGGAGAAGUUGGUGGAAGAGAUGGCAAGCGUUGAUCAGCAUUUAAGAUUCUUAUCAGUAUUUGUGAAGGUAAUUUUGUGAAGCAUUCUAUUUGAUCUUUCUUAGUUUGUCUUCUCCUAAGUUAAAUGAUAUGGUUACAUGUUAUGUGUCAUUGUUGCGGCUCAAUGGCAAGUUGGUGAAACUGCCCUAAAUUAUUAUAGCUCACGGUCGCAUCAAAUAACGAAGCUGCUUGACCAUGUUGUAUACCUUUUCUGUUGAGAAUUGAUGAGCAAAGAUCAUGGCUCAAGUUUCAAGAAUAUGGGUUGGGGCCACAAGUCCUUCUCUGUAUACGUAUCCGUUUGUGUAGUUUCUAUUCUUUUUAUAAAUAUUUCUGGAAAUGAAAUUUCAAGUUAAGGAUUCAGCCAUAAGAGGUGUUAUGAAAUCAGAUUCAUAACCAUACUCAAUGCUUUGGUGGAGUAGGGAAGUAAUUUGACUCUAUCAUAUGGUUCGACACCGUGAUUCUAUAAAUAUUUGAAUUUUUGGUCAGCUGAAUCUAUGAACAUGAUAACCUCUUUCAAACCUUAACCACACAUGGAAAUGAAUAGGGUAAUGGCGGAGGAAGUUUGCAGAGGAAGAUGGAAAUAGGAAAACCAGAAAGUUCUUGUAUUCAUUAAAACUAUCAAUUUCUGUU